GUAACUCAUUUUUUAUUAGUUGGCUGAUUUAAACUACUUUCCUUUUGCACGAUGUGACGAACCACUGGAUAUGGUUCUAUCAACAAUGACGGUUGUUUGCAUUUCAUGUACAUGACUGUAAUGUUUAGACUACAUUGUCACCAUCAUCAAACUUUGCAAUGCAUCAAAUGUGUUUAGCAGCUUGCACGCAGAGUAUCCAGGAGAAAUCCUCUGAAAUUUGCGGUUAGUUCUUAAAUAGUAGCGGUUGUGGUUUUUUGAUAAUGUUGAUAAGGAUUCACAACCAUAUAUAAAUCUCAUCAUUCCUACAGGCAAUGCGGCGUGAAUUGGAGAUUUUUCUUAGGUGAAAAAAAGAGCAGAGAUUUAGUUGCGGCAAGACCAGAUGGGAAUCUUGGCCAUGAUGCUGCAAGAGUCGAUCACCUUCAACUUCGAUCAUUAAUCUUGUUGAUAAAGCCAUAACAUAUGGUGGUGAGAAAUGAUCAAGGAUAUUUACUGAGUUUUGGUGUACUUACUGAUUGAAGAGCAAUAACCUCUGUCUGGAUAUUAUGCGAGGAACUUCAAUGAAAGGUGGUGUCGCACAUUGUAUCCAGCACUGCUGUGGAUUCUGGAUUGGGAAAGAGAACGAGUACAGACUUUCACCAUCCGAAGUGUACUCAAAAGUGAUCACUGUAGAAAGAAAGAAAGAAAGAAAGAAGCACUUACGCAACAGAGAUGAAGCUUCGACGAUGCGAGGGAAGCAGAGAUUGUGGGGGAGAAUUGGAUUGCCACGGAAGCUCUGAUAGACCCAGCCAGCGAACAACAACAUCAUCAUCAUCGUCAUCAUUCUAAGCCCAGCCCAGCCCAGAGAAAAGUGACGAGAAGGGCAAAGCAAAACUAAGAGCAAAAAGCAAAGACCAGGAAGGGAACAACAGAAAACAGCAGAGAAAGAGAGCAGAGAGCAGAGCCGGACAGAGCCUCCUCCUCCUCCUCCUCAUUUCUCCUUCUCAUUCUCAUUUCUUACAAUACUCUUGCACAAAUCCUUUGAUAUAAGAGGCCGCUGUAGACACUAGUAGGAUGCCAAGUUUUGCAGUCAAUAAAAGCAUGUUCUAAUUGGAAUAGCAUUAAUAAUAAAUAAUAGGAUAUUCUAUCAAAGAGAAAACAUUUGCAUGAUUUCCAUAAACCAACACAAGUUACAUUGACAAGAAUUUUUUUAAAGGAAUGUAAAACAAAUCAAUAUUCUUUCUUAUAAUCACUUCAUAAUAUUAAUUUACAAGAAUUAAAAAGAAAAUUCGCUUUUUCAGUUAUUUAUUUAUUUGUUUAUUUAUAUUUUGUGUCAAGAAUGCAUUUUGAAUCACUGUAACAAAUGUAGCAAACACAGGUAUACAAAAGGAUCACAAAAAGUAGAAAUCACAUCCAAAGUCAUAGAAAUUUUCAACGGCUACGUCCAUAAUACAAGUUUUUGUUUUUGAAUGUUCGUUUUUGAACUCAAGAAAUUACAUUAAAAAAAAUUUAUAAAACAAUCUUUGCACAUGAAACCAACCCUAAUUUAAAUCUACCUAUCAAAAAUAGUAUCAACAUGUAAAAUACUUUGUUAUAGGUUUGAAUCUACAAACUCGGAUUUGCACAUAUACUGAAGUGGAAUUGCAUAUAAGUACAAAAAAAAUUACUGAGAAAAAAAUCGAUAUUAAGUUAAAGAACUUUUUUUACAUGAUAAAAAAAGAAAUUAUUGAUUUUAUGUCAAUAAAUUUCAAAUCAAUGCUAAUCUUUAAUUUUAAACCAAGAAUUGUAAUGUGAAAAGAAGAUCAAGAAAUAACCACACUAAUAAUGAUUAUUAUUACUAUUAUUAAAAAGCAACUACAAAUCAAAAAAACAAAACAUCAUAAAAACUAAAAUUAAAAUGCUAGAAUGGUUACUUAAAAUCUUGUUAAAAAUAUACCAACUGUUAAAACAGAUUACCAUGAAUAUAAUGUAUAUUUUUCUUUCACUAAAAGUUAAUGAUAAUGUUAUACAAAUUAUAUGUUAUCACAUGUAAUGAUAAAAACCAAUUGAAUGACAUUGUAUCAUUAUCAGAAAAUAAUUAAUUCCACCCACUUCUUAAGAUCCUUAAAAUAUAUAAAUAUUGUACUUUAGAAUCUGGAAUAACAGAAUGUUAUAAAUAAAUAAAAUCUUACCUGAUAAGUGUAGUUCAAAAAUGUAGAAGUUCAAACAUUAAAUUAAAAGUAUGUAGUUAAUAAAAACAUAACACACAGUUGAUUGUUUACAUACAACACUAAGUGUAAACAUGUCCUUAAUUGAAAUAUUUAUCAAACAUGAGAGAACUUCAAUUUUGAACAUACACAACAUGAUAUGUGGAUAUGAAGCAGAUAUGUCUGUCUCACAAAAUGUACUUCAAAGUUGAUAUACAAACAUGUUUGUGUGGCAAUUCAAGCCACUUCUUCUUUUGUCUUCUUCUUUCUCUUAUGCUUGUGGUGUG
rnacentral:lncRNA from 1 species